AGCAGAGACAAACAUCCGGGCAUUCCGUAUCUUCACAGAUCAGCUCAGAUUCGUCUAACGUUGAUAUUUCGUUUCCACGAAGUGAUCGCGGAAAAUGGCAAGUGACGUCAUCCGUGACGUCAAUCACUACGUAUUCUUGUGAGAUUAACCAGAUAACCUUCGUAGAGUAGGAAAGCUAGAAAACGCUUCUUCGCCGAUAAAGUCAAGUUCCGGCAUCUUAUUUAAACUGAUCUCUUCCAAUAAAGAUUUAAAGUAAUGACGUCAUCAGGAAUGACGUCAGGAAUUUCGUCCAGGUCUUGGUACGAACAGUCAACCAGGCCAACUUCAACGUCGCAUUUACAAACGCCCAGACACGAGAGUCGUGGGAAUACGGUUAUAUAAUUCUGUAAAUUUUCCAUGUUUACUAUCAAAUGGGACGAUAAAAGAGAAUGAAAACAUGGAUCAUCUUAUACCAACUUUUACAAAUACACGUUGCUGUUUUCGUUCAACUAUUUCUUCAUUAUUUACGGCGUAUCCAUUAAUUCCAACAGCAAAAGCGGAAAGCAUAAAAACUAACCGUA